rnacentral:rRNA from 1 species
UACGGAGGGGGCUAGCGUUGUUCGGAAUUACUGGGCGUAAAGCGCACGUAGGCGGCUUUGCAAGUCAGAGGUGAAAGCCCGGGGCUCAACCCCGGAAUUGCCUUUGAGACUGCAUCGCUAGAAUUGUGGAGAGGUAAGUGGAAUUCCGAGUGUAGAGGUGAAAUUCGUAGAUAUUCGGAAGAACACCAGUGGCGAAGGCGGCUCUCUGGACCGACACUGACGCUGAGGCGCGAAAGCGUGGGGAGCAAACAGG